rnacentral:rRNA from 1 species
GUGGGGAAUUUUGGACAAUGGGCGCAAGCCUGAUCCAGCAAUGCCGCGUGCAGGAAGAAGGCCUUCGGGUUGUAAACUGCUUUUGUACGGAACGAAACGGUCCGGGUUAAUACCCUGGGCUAAUGACGGUACCGUAAGAAUAAGCACCGGCUAACUACGUGCCAGCAGCCGCGGUAAUACGUAGGGUGCAAGCGUUAAUCGGAAUUACUGGGCGUAAAGCGUGCGCAGGCGGUUUUGUAAGACAGGCGUGAAAUCCCCGGGCUCAACCUGGGAAUUGCGAUUGUGACUGCAAGGCUGGAGUGCGGCAGAGGGGGAUGGAAUUCCGCGUGUAGCAGUGAAAUGCGUAGAUAUGCGGAGGAACACCGAUGGCGAAGGCAAUCCCCUGGGCCUGCACUGACGCUCAUGCGCGAAAGCGUGGGGAGCAAACAGGAUUAGAUACCCCAGUAGUCC